GUUAGUGUGGCAGAGCCCGGCAAGUGCAAAAGGCCUAAGCCCUUUCUACUGAGGUUCAAAUCCUCCCCCUAACU
rnacentral:tRNA from 3 species